CCGCUGUCUCCAGGAUCUCCCUAAGAUUAAAGUUACUGAUGUGCAUCGUAUUUGCAAAAAAUCAACCACAGCUCCAUCCAGCAAGCUGGAGAAAGGCUUUAAAUUAUACGCAGCCUCGUAUAUACACGGUUAUGAAGGUUGGACUCAGGGAUGCUUCACCUGUGGGGCUCACACAAAGCGAGUGUUCAUGUGUGGCAGGCACUGCUUUGUGCAAUCACACGGUUGCCUUACUCUUUCAAAGUGCUCAUUUUUCCCAGCUUAAUUUAUCUGUUGUACCCCCUGUGCUUAGCUGCACUGAAAGAGAACAAUCCUGGCAUAAACCACGAACAAUGGGUGUAAAACCAGGCCCAAUCAAUGCCAUGGUCAUCACAAAACCUGUAGCAAAUCGUACUACACAAGGUGGAGUGAGGUAAGUUCAGCAACCAAUUAUUUUUUUCUUUAGUACAAGGAUGCUAAGGACAAAGAUAAUUUGUUUAACAGCAUAAGGUCUUGCAAUGAAAUGCAGCAGUGUUCUUAUGCAUUUAAAAAAAUACAGAGUAUAAAAAGUAUAGACAUAGUAAUUAGAGCUAUAACAAAUGUAAUGUUAGCAACAACAAUUUUCAAGCUA